CUCAAGUGUGGAGGACUCCACCUUUGGGAUGUGUCCACCUUCUGUUUCUGACAUGUGCAGUGAUUCUUCAGGUUCUGAAGACAAUGUUCUAAAAGCAAAUUAGAGCAACAAGUUAUUUUCUACAAAUAAAUAGGUUCCACGGCCAACAUGGAACUUGAACUCAUGAGCCCGAGAUCAAGAGUUGGAUGCUCUACCGACUGAGAUAGCCAGACGCCCCUGGGUAAAGAGUUCUUAAUGAUACAACACCAUAAGCCAUAAAAAAAGUGAUAAAAUGAACUUCAUUAAAAUUAAAAACAUUAGUACUUUAAAAGACAUCAUUAAGAAGAUGAAAAGACACAUACAGAUCAGGAGAAAAUAUUUGCAAAUCAGAUAUCUUUGAUAAAGGGCUUCUAUUCAAAAUAAAGAAGUUUUACAACUCAAUAAAACAGCCAAACAAAAAAAAGGGGGGGGGCAAAA